AAAAUGAGAAGUGGCAGAGGUGAAUUACCAGGGGUGAGUUUAAUUAUGGGGUUUCAUACUUUGACAAGUUGUUGUUUCCCUUGUGCAGUUGGAGCUUGUGUGUUAUCAAUGCACUACUUUCUCCUUCAUUUGAGUCUUCCACUUAGCCCUGCAAAUGCAAUGAAACUCGGGAUCAUUCACCAUUUCCAUCUUAUAUGAAACACAAUAAAGAAUAAAUACAACAUCAACGUUUUAGUUUAUCAUACCUUCUGAUCAGAUACAUGGUUUCUGCCUUUCUGCACUGAUCCUUUAUUCUUCUACCUGAAUGUUCACCCUAGACGCUACACCCUGGCAACUAGUACAUAAAUUACCCUUAACCCCAAUACCUGCCCAGUAAGUUACAAAAGCAGGUCAGCAGUUAGAAGACCAACAAAGUAAGGAGGAAGCACACAGUAGCGAAGAGUAAAAGACCUACAAACUACAACGGAAAAAAUACCAUCAGAAGAAUAGGAAGAAUGACAAGUGGCAGAGGUGAAUU
rnacentral:lncRNA from 1 species